UAUUGUUCAGAUGAUUUGGCUAAGCUAGCUAACAGCUGUUAACGUUAGUAGUCUCUUGUUGCCAUAGCAACAGUAAACAUUGACGUGGACUAAUGAGCUGUAAAUAGAGAUGCAGAAUCAAGCUGUAAAUACGCUUACUUUGACCGUUGCUAUAUUUCGGAUAUCAUGACUAUGACAAUGUGCAUCUGUUGUCUAUAUCUGACUGAUGAAUAGUAUCUCAAUAGUGAUAAUCGGAGAUGUCGAUGAGGCCGUGAAACAUCCAACCGGCGCUACGAUCAUGUCUGUCUGAUGCGGGGUCUCGGAAUAAGCGCAGCUGCUGGUGGUCUGAACAACGUGGGACUGGGGCCAGCAGUUGUAAGCUAUUAAAACAUGUAUAAAGAAUACAUGUCUAUUCUUUGUGUCUCAUCACUAUCACUACAUAGAAAACCGGAUGGGUUUCUUUGGGGGCAACAACUAUGGCUGUGAAUAAUAUAUACAAGAGCAAUGCGCACCCCGCUGUGCCUUAACUUUCCAUUCUUAUGUAAUGUAGGCUAUGACUACAGUUUAUGUUGUUAGGUGCAAUGAUCAUGACAAGCGGCGUAUUUAGGGGGGUAAGGAAUAGAGUACAAGAUUAAUAGUCCUUGAAUAUUUCAAAGAUGCGAUAUGGAAUCUAUUGUGUGUGUGUGUGUGUGUGUGUGUGUGUGUGUGUGUGUGUGUGUGUGUGUGUGUGUGUGUGUGUGUGUGUGUGUGUGUGUGUGUGUGUGUGUGUGUGUGUGUGUGUGUGCGUGACAUUGAUUUACAUGUACUCAAAUAAGAAUAACACAUUCACAAAAUAUUGUAUUUGUUGACCGUACAUAGUGUACAUUUGCAGUUGUUUGCGUAGCCUAUUUAUUAAGGAAUCAACUACGGUCUGCCUCUAAAUCUGGCUGUCUCUCAUACCAGAGGGGCACAGCCUCAUGGGAUAGGCCUAAUGGAUGUGAAAAAGGUAAUAUAUGAUGAACCGAAGGAAAAGGUAGGCCUACCGCAUGACACAAGAUAAAGACUAUGCUUAACAAGAAUAUAAUAAUCAGCAGCCUGCACACAUUUAUUUUUAACUGUAAGUUAACUAUUUUCAUACAAUGCCAUUGUUUUGGCACAAAGUAUCUAAUUUUACAGGCCUCACUGGUCUGGUGAAUACUCUCUUCAUUCCUGCGGAAGUUAUUUUGAAAAUGUUAUUGCAUUCAGACGUUUCUUCCAUCACAUUAUGUUUCUUCCGUAGGCCAAAGAGCUGCACUGCCAUACAUUUUCCUGCGGGUUCGGGAAGGCCUAUGAUGUUGUAUGCAAUAAGGCGGGGACUAUGUACGAAUUACUUCAGACAUGCGAUAGGUUUAAAGAAAAGGCUUCCAAAAACCAAGGCAAAGAUCUUGUUAUUUUAACAUCUCAUAAAAGAGCUAUUAGUAUGCAUUUUCGAUAUCACAAAAUGACCGAGAUUGGCACUGAAACCCUCGUAAUUAGGUAGCCCUACAUCAGUGCAGGAAGGAACCAGACAACCACCACAAGCAGUAAGGACAAAAAGGAAUAUCGUGGAGAGAUGGCAAUAUUUGACGUGAAAACAACUGGCGAUACUAACAUUCUUACUAUGGUUAUGAACAAUUUGGGGCUGAGAAAGUUAGCGGAUGAGGUUACAGUGUAUGGCUACAAAGGUCAAACAGUGAGAGAAGUGCUGGAGCAAGAUGGACGUUUUAGUGACGAGGUAUUACAAAGCAAUUAUUAUCUGCAGGACACAAAGAAUGGUAUACGUACGGAAAAGUCCACCCAUGCAAAUUAUCUAGAUGGUAGAUGUUUCAAGAUAACAAGAGGUUACCGCUUAGAAACGCUGUGAUAGUUAAACGUCCGUGCGUGGUUUGCAACAUACUUAGGGUCCUUCAUGAUAACGCCACACUUACAUAUGGAUAUUAGCUAUAAGGCUAUCACCAGUAAUGAUAAAGAAGUGGUACGAGUUUUGUACAGAUUAUGUUUUGGUUCAUUGUUUGUUUUUUAUUGGUUUAUUAUUUGUAUGCAUUAUAUGUUGGUGUCAUCGGUCUCUUUUGUAAUGAUGAUUUGUAUAUUAAUGUGUUAAUAAAGAUAAAUGCAUGUUAAAUGUUGAAUGCUUCAUGUUUUUUUUUUUUUUUUUUUCACCAAGUAUCCAUCCCAUCAGAGGGGAUGCAAGCAGGGUGGUAAACUGGAUGUGGACGUACACGAUAUGUUUGACCCUAGGCUUCAAAAACCGUUCAGCAUGGUAGUAGCAGGACCAUGAAAUACCAGCAAAACCUACUUUGUCAAAACAGCUAUUCAUACGGUUCACGUGACGUCACUGUAGCUUUGGCCGCGAUCUUGAUGACCGAUCCCACCCACUGACCCACUGAUUUCAGUGGUAACUCAGUCAACAACAACAGCAACACCUGCGACCACAAUCAAACGACAGUCAUGCCGGCAAUUUGUUGUGCAGUGGGCUGUAACAACAGCCGUACGAGGAACCCCGGCUUGAUUUUUUAUUAGUUACCAACCGAAAAAUCAAGAAGAGAUAAGUGGUUAGCUGCAAUAAGACGAGAUCAUUGGGCGCCCACAUCUCACAGCUUGCUGUGCUCAGAGCACUUUGUGUCAGGAGCAAAACGGGACAACCACUUGAGCCCUGCUUUUGUGCCCAGCCUGUUUGCAUAUACCUCUGUGAGGGAGAGGGAAAAGCAAAAUUACGUCUUCCAAAAGUUUCUGAAGACUCAGCAGAGGAAGCGCAAGAUCCGCGAGAACAGCAGAUGUCUUGCUGACCCUUCAACCACCGAUGUUGCUGACAUGGAGGAGCAUGAAGUCACUACUGACCACAACACUGACCACAGUUAUUCAAGAGACACAGGCCCUGGCAUUGUAGAACCAUGCGUGAAUCCAUCCUGCCCAGGCUACAACAUUUGCAUUGGAAAGUGAGUGUGCACGGCUCCGAGCAGAGGUCAGUGAGUUAAGGGCCAGGUUAGAGGAGCGGUCCUUGAAUGAAGAGGCAUUCAGGGACAAUGACACCAUGUUGCAGGAUCUAACAGGUCUUCCAACCUUCGCCAAAUUAAUAAUUUUGUUUAAUUUUGUUCAGAAGUUUAUAAAAGUUGGACAAUCAAUCACCCCAUUCCAUUGUUUGAUCCUAACAUUAAUGAGGCUGAGGCUUAAUGUGCCGCUUCACUUUUUAGCUUUUUUUUUGGGAUUUUCUAAGUCAACUGCUGUCAGAGUGUUUAACAGCACAUUAGAUGUAUUGUUUUUCAGAUUAUCAGAACUUAUCGUAUGGCCACCUAAAGAACAAAUUCAAAUUAGUCUCCCAAUGUGUUUUCGCAAUAACUUUAAAAACUGCACCUCCAUAAUUGAUCGUUUUGAAAUAUUCAUAGAAAAGCUAAAGGACCUGAGAUGCCGUGCACAGACAUACUCACAAUAUAAGCACCACAACACCGCAAAAUUUCUGAUCUCAAUUACACCUCAAGGUGUUAUAUCCUAUGUGUCAAAAGGUUGGGGGGUCGCACAAGCGACAAGCACAUAACAGAAAAUUGUGGAUAUCUUGAUAAUUUGUCACCAGGAGAUGUCAUUCUAGCUGAUAGAGGUUUUAAUGUUAAAGAUACAAUGGGUCUGUAUUGUGCUCAGCUGAAAAUACCGGCAUUUACCAAAGGCAAGACACAGCUGCAUCCACUGGAGCUAGAGGCAACAAGGGGACUGGCAGCUGUCAGGAUCCAUGUGGAGAGAGUCAUUGGCCUGGUGAGGAAUAAGUACACUAUUCUUCAGACCACCAUCCCUCUGACACUCUGCCAAGCCGCUUCGCAUGGACAGCCUACCUCCAUCGACAAAAUGGUGACAGUUUGCUGUGCUCUGUGUAAUAUUAGCCCAUCAGUCAUCCCUACAGAGUAGAGACGUGGUACAAUUGUUUUCUCUGACUCUGAACUACAUAGACCAACUACUAUACGUAGGUAUAUAUAUUUUUAUUCUUCAUUUAUGUAUGGAUCGCAUCUAUUUGCCACAUUACUACAAACACAAUGGUUAAAAAAAGAAUUUAAUUCAAUU